UUCAGGUAAUGGAGGCUGGAUGAUU
rnacentral:piRNA from 1 species